AAUAAAUAGGUAAACAUCAUUGUAAAAUCAAUACAUUCCUCACUCCACUCAGAAUCUAAACGCACAGUAAAAAUAAUAAAUAUCGAACCGCUCCGAAAAGCAGGUAUUAUAUAACUGUAUACAAAAACGUGAAAGCAUUUGUCACGGAUUCCCGACGAAACUGUACACAGAAAAGAACAACUUUGAUCAGGUUCGACCGGUUUUCAACAUGACUGAGC